rnacentral:sRNA from 1 species
UCUUCGUCCAAAUCAUCCUUCAUUAGCAUGCCCACCAGUUCAUCGUCUCUGACGUCCAAACCUAGCAAGUAGCAGUUGAUCUUCAAGCUCUCAAAGGUGACGAGACCCUUGUUACGUCCAUGAGCAAGCGAAAGUCAUUGUAGAGUUCUCCAAUGAACCCUUCUGCCCCCAUGCGCGCAAUCAUGGAGCGGAAGUAGUUCUCGAAGUGCAUAAGCUUUGCAGAUUGUCUACCUUGAUCAUGGGUUUUAAUUAUGUCUAUGGAAGCUUGCAGGAGUUGUUUCCGC